AGCAGCCGCGGUAAUUCCAGCUCCAAUAGCGUAUAUUAAAGUUGUUGCAGUUAAAAAGCUCGUAGUUGAAUUUCGGGAUCAAUAUGUCGGUCGUGCCUUCGGUACGUACUGGUAUCAUUGGUUUCUCCUUUCUGACGAACCAUGAUGUCAUUAAUUUGGUGUUAUGGGGAGUUAGGACUGUUACUUUGAAAAAAUUAGAGUGUUUAAAGCAGGCUUUAGCUUGAAUACAUUAGCAUGGAAUAAUGAAAUAGGACGUUCGAACCUAUUUUGUUGGUUUCUAGGAUCAACGUAAUGAUUAAUAGGGAUAGUUGGGGGCAUUAGUAUUCAAUUGUCAGAGGUGAAAUUCUUGGAUUUAUUGAAGACUAACUACUGCGAAAGCAUUUGCCAAGGAUGUUUUCAUUAAUCAAGAACGAAAGUUAGGGGAUCGAAGACGAUCAGAUACCGUCGUAGUCUUAACCAUAAACUAUGCCGACUAGGGAUCGGAUGAUGUUAAUUUUUUAAUGACUCAUUCGGCGCCUUACG
rnacentral:rRNA from 1 species